GAUGAACGCUGGCGGCGUGCCUAAUACAUGCAAGUCGAGCGAACGGACGAGAAGCUUGCUUCUCUGAUGUUAGCGGCGGACGGGUGAGUAACACGUGGAUAGCCUACCUAUAAGACUGGGAUAACUUCGGGAAACCGGAGCUAAUACCGGAUGAUAUUUUGAACCGCAUGGUUCAAAAGUGAAAGACGGUCUUGCUGUCACUUAUAGAUGGAUCCGCGCUGCAUUAGCUAGUUGGUAAGGUAACGGCUUACCAAGGCAACGAUGCAUAGCCGACCUGAGAGGGUGAUAGGCCACACUGGAACUGAGACACGGUCCAGACUCCUACGGGAGGCAGCAGUAGGGAAUCUUCCGCAAUGGGCGAAAGCCUGACGGAGCAACGCCGCGUGAGUGAUGAAGGUGUUCGGAUCGUAAAACUCUGUUAUUAGGGAAGAACAGAUGUGUAAGUAACUGUGCACAUCGUGACGGUACCUAAUCAGAAAGCCACGGCUAACUACGUG
rnacentral:rRNA from 1 species